rnacentral:rRNA from 1 species
AGACCCGAAACCCGGUGAUCUAGCCAUGGGCAGGUUGAAGGUUGGGUAACACUAACUGGAGGACCGAACCGACUAAUGUUGAAAAAUUAGCGGAUGACCUGUGGCUGGGGGUGAAAGGCCAAUCAAACCGGGAGAUAGCUGGUUCUCCCCGAAAGCUAUUUAGGUAGCGCCUCGUGAACUCAUCUCCGGGGGUAGAGCACUGUUUCGGCUAGGGGGCCAUCCCGGCUUACCAACCCGAUGCAAACUGCGAAUACCGGAGAAUGUUAUCACGGGAGACACACGGCGGGUGCUAACGUCCGUCGUGAAGAGGGAAACAACCCAGACCGCCAGCUAAGGUCCCAAAGUCAUGGUUAAGUGGGAAACGAUGUGGGAAGGCCCAGACAGCCAGGAUGUUGGCUUAGAAGCAGCCAUCAUUUAAAGAAAGCGUAAUAGCUCACUGGUCGAGUCGGCCUGCGCGGAAGAUGUAACGGGGCUAAACCAUGCACCGAAGCUGCGGCAGCGACACUUUAGUGUUGUUGGGUAGGGGAGCGUUCUGUAAGCCGUUGAAGGUGUGUCGUGAGGCAUGCUGGAGGUAUCAGAAGUGCGAAUGCUGACAUAAGUAACGAUAAAGCGGGUGAAAAGCCCGCUCGCCGGAAGACCAAGGGUUCCUGUCCAACGUUAAUCGGGGCAGGGUGAGUCGACCCCUAAGGCGAGGCCGAAAGGCGUAGUCGAUGGGAAACGGGUUAAUAUUCCCGUACUUGGUGUUACUGCGAAGGGGGGACGGAGAAGGCUAUGUUGGCCGGGCGACGGUAGUCCCGGUUUAAGCGUGUAGGCUGGUUUUCCAGGCAAAUCCGGAAAAUCAAGGCUGAGGCGUGAUGACGAGGCACCACGGUGCUGAAGCAACAAAUGCCCUGCUUCCAGGAAAAGCCUCUAAGCAUCAGGUAACAUCAAAUCGUACCCCAAACCGACACAGGUGGUCAGGUAGAGAAUACCAAGGCGCUUGAGAGAACUCGGGUGAAGGAACUAGGCAAAAUGGUGCCGUAACUUCGGGAGAAGGCACGCUGACACGUAGGUGAAGUGAUUUACUCAUGGAGCUGAAGUCAGUCGAAGAUACCAGCUGGCUGCAACUGUUUAUUAAAAACACAGCACUGUGCAAACACGAAAGUGGACGUAUACGGUGUGACGCCUGCCCGGUGCCGGAAGGUUAAUUGAUGGGGUCAGCGCAAGCGAAGCUCCUGAUCGAAGCCCCGGUAAACGGCGGCCGUAACUAUAACGGUCCUAAGGUAGCGAAAUUCCUUGUCGGGUAAGUUCCGACCUGCACGAAUGGCGUAAUGAUGGCCAGGCUGUCUCCACCCGAGACUCAGUGAAAUUGAACUCGCUGUGAAGAUGCAGUGUACCCGCGGCAAGACGGAAAGACCCCGUGAACCUUUACUAUAGCUUGACACUGAACAUUGAGCCUUGAUGUGUAGGAUAGGUGGGAGGCUUUGAAGCGUGGACGCCAGUCUGCGUGGAGCCGACCUUGAAAUACCACCCUUUAAUGUUUGAUGUUCUAACGUGGACCCGUAAUC